CCGCCAUCCUGGAUAAACUAUUUUUCUAGAAAUAUGACAUUCUAACUCACAAUCACAUUAUGAUCAUAUGAAAAGUAGAAGUAGUAUCCCAUUGAUUAUUUUGGAUAUCUAAUAAAAUGAGCUAUUACAGAUCUAUUCUUUAAUUUAUCAGCCAUCUAUCUUUUGACAUAGGUUGGAUAUCCCCAAGUCUUAAGAUAGUCUAGACUCAAUUUCUUACUGUGCUAUAUCUCAUAUGAUGUGGUAGGAACAAAUUUUGAUGGAAUCCUAUUCA
rnacentral:lncRNA from 1 species